GCUCUUUCUCUCCCGUGACCUCAGCCUCAUCUCCAAUCGUGGGGAAGAGAGAAACUGAAAUUCUUCCUGUGACUGAACACAUGAGAAUGCAACAGUUACUUGGGGUAACAGGUUUCCUGUGGGUCCUGUGUGAAGAGUAUGCAUUCAUUCCAGUGUCGGGGAGGGGAGAAGAAUGAGGAGGAGGCAGUCCCAUGUGGAUGUCAGUGUGAUGAUUAGGAUGCCUGAUGCUUCCGAAACAAGAAUACACUUUACGAAAAUGCCCAUU
rnacentral:lncRNA from 1 species